GACGAACGCUGGCGGCGUGCUUAACACAUGCAAGUCGAACGGAAAGGCCCUGCUUUUGUGGGGUGCUCGAGUGGCGAACGGGUGAGUAACACGUGAGUAACCUGCCCUUGACUUUGGGAUAACUUCAGGAAACUGGGGCUAAUACCGGAUAGGAGCUCCUGCUGCAUGGUGGGGGUUGGAAAGUUUCGGCGGGUGGGGAUGGACUCGCGGCUUAUCAGCUUGUUGGUGGGGUAGUGGCUUACCAAGGCUUUGACGGGUAGCCGGCCUGAGAGGGUGGCCGGCCACAUUGGGACUGAGAUACGGCCCAGACUCCUACGGGAGGCAGCAGUGGGGAAUAUUGCACAAUGGGCGGAAGCCUGAUGCAGCAACGCCGCGGGCGGGAUGACGGCCUUCGGGUUGUAAACCGCUUUCGCCUGUGACGAAGCGUGAGUGACGGUAAUGGGUAAAGAAGCACCGGCUAACUACGUG
rnacentral:rRNA from 1 species